UUUCGAACCCGCAAUGGAAGAAAGGGGAGGGGUUUAUGCGGGGCGGGGUCUGGAGUUAGUGUUUUGGGAGUGGGAGGUAGUUACAGUGAUGUCUGUUUUUUCCCGUUCAAGAAUUAAGUGUGUACCUGCAGACGUGUAUUCAUUCAUAUAUUCUUGCCCAGUAUAAUCACAAGGAUUCAUAAAACGGAAGAGGGAGACAGAAGAGAUGGUCAGAGUGAUAUGAAGUAAAAAGGAUUCAGCUUACUCUUGCUGGAUUUGUAAAUGCAGGAAGGGACCACGAGUCAAGGAAUGCAGGUAGCUUCUAGAAGCUAGAAAAGGUCACACAACUGGUCUCUCAUUAAAUAAUGACCGGCUGUACAAGCUCACGUACUCCACUGAAGUUCUUCUUGAUCGGGGCAAAGGAAAACUGCAAGACAGCGUGGGCUACCGCAUUUCCUCCAACGUGGAUGUGGCCUUACUAUGGAGGAAUCCUGAUGGUGAUGAUGACCAGUUGAUCCAAAUAACGAUGAAGGAUGUAAAUGUUGAAAAUGUGAAUCAGCAGAGAGGAGAGAAGA
rnacentral:lncRNA from 10 species